rnacentral:rRNA from 1 species
GACGUAGGGCGCGAGCGUUGUCCGGAUUUAUUGGGCGUAAAGAGCUCGUAGGCGGCUUGUCGCGUCGACCGUGAAAACUUGGGGCUCAACCCCAAGCCUGCGGUCGAUACGGGCAGGCUCGAGCUCGGUAGGGGAGACUGGAAUUCCUGGUGUAGCGGUGAAAUGCGCAGAUAUCAGGAGGAACACCGGUGGCGAAGGCGGGUCUCUGGGCCGAUACUGACGCUGAGGAGCGAAAGCGUGGGGAGCGAACAGG